rnacentral:lncRNA from 1 species
UACUGAUUUUUUUUUUUUUUUUUUUAUCAUUUGAAUUUUUAAUGAAGCUGUAAAGUAAAUGUUUUACAUUUCCCAGGGACUAACAGGGCCAAUAGGGUUGAAAGGAGAUGAUGGUCCAAGAGGACUCCCUGGAGAUCCAGCCAAGGGUAUAAUUGGUCCAACUGGAAAGAAGGGUGCCAGGGGAGACAUCGGCCCAGUCGGCCACACGGGUCCUCAGGGAAUAAAGGGUGAACGAGGAGACAAAGGAGAAAAGGGCACUCCAGGGUUUGGGAUUCCAGGACAGCAGGGACCAAAGGGAGAAAAUGGCGAGAGGGUGAGUCACUUGAAGAAUUGAAAU